AGAGUUUGAUCAUGGCUCAGGAUGAACGCUGGCGGCGUGCUUAACACAUGCAAGUCGAACGAACCUUCGGGUUAGUGGCGGACGGGUGAGUAACGCGUGGGAAUCUGCCCUCAGGAGGGGGAUAACGGCUGGAAACGGCCGCUAAUACCCCAUAUGCCGAGAGGUGAAAUGAAUUUCGCCUGAGGAUGAGCCCGCGUCUGAUUAGCUAGUUGGUGAGGUAAGAGCUCACCAAGGCAUCGAUCAGUAGCUGGUCUGAGAGGAUGAUCAGCCACACUGGGACUGAGACACGGCCCAGACUCCUACGGGAGGCAGCAGUGGGGAAUUUUCCGCAAUGGGCGAAAGCCUGACGGAGCAACGCCGCGUGAGGGAUGAAGGCCUCUGGGCUGUAAACCUCUUUUCUCAAGGAAGAAGAUCUGACGGUACUUGAGGAAUAAGCCACGGCUAAUUCCGUGCCAGCAGCCGCGGUAAUACGGGAGUGGCAAGCGUUAUCCGGAAUUAUUGGGCGUAAAGCGUCCGCAGGCGGCCCUUCAAGUCUGCUGUUAAAACGUGGAGCUUAACUCCAUCAUGGCAGUGGAAACUGUUGGGCUUGAGUGUGGUAGGGGCAGAGGGAAUUCCCGGUGUAGCGGUGAAAUGCGUAGAUAUCGGGAAGAACACCAGUGGCGAAGGCGCUCUGCUGGGCCAUAACUGACGCUCAUGGACGAAAGCCAGGGGAGCGAAAGGGAUUAGAUACCCCUGUAGUCCUGGCCGUAAACGAUGAACACUAGGUGUCGGGGGAAUCGACCCCCUCGGUGUCGUAGCCAACGCGUUAAGUGUUCCGCCUGGGGAGUACGCACGCAAGUGUGAAACUCAAAGGAAUUGACGGGGGCCCGCACAAGCGGUGGAGUAUGUGGUUUAAUUCGAUGCAACGCGAAGAACCUUACCAGGGUUUGACAUCCUGCGAAUCUCUUGGAAACGAGAGAGUGCCUCCGGGAACGCAGUGACAGGUGGUGCAUGGCUGUCGUCAGCUCGUGUCGUGAGAUGUUGGGUUAAGUCCCGCAACGAGCGCAACCCACGUCUUUAGUUGCCAGCAUUUAGUUGGGCACUCUAGAGAGACCGCCGGUGAUAAACCGGAGGAAGGUGUGGAUGACGUCAAGUCAUCAUGCCCCUUACAUCCUGGGCUACACACGUACUACAAUGCUACGGACAAAGAGCAGCAAGUUCGCGAGGACAAGCAAAUCUCAUAAACCGUGGCUCAGUUCAGAUCGUAGGCUGCAACUCGCCUACGUGAAGGAGGAAUCGCUAGUAAUCGCAGGUCAGCAUACUGCGGUGAAUACGUUCCCGGGCCUUGUACACACCGCCCGUCACACCAUGGAAGUUGGCCACGCCCGAAGCCGUUACUCCAACCCUUGUGGAGGAGGACGUCGAAGGUGGGGCUGAUGACUGGGGUGAAGUCAUAACAAGGUAGCCGUA
rnacentral:rRNA from 1 species